ACUCAAAUGAAUAGACGGGGGCCCGCACAAGCGGUGGAGUAUGUGGUUUAAUUCGAAGCAACGCGAAGAACCUUACCAGCCCUUGACAUCCCGUGAAGGCUUCCAGAGAUGGAUUCCCUCCAGCAAUGGACACGGAGACAGAUGCUGCAUGGCUGUUGUCAGCUCGUGUCGUGAGAUGUUGGGUUAAGUCCCGCAACGAGCGCAACCCUCGCCUUUAGUUGCCAGCGGUUCGGCCGGGCACUCUAAAGGGACUGCCGGUGAUAAGCCGGAGGAAGGUGGGGAUGACUUCAAGUCCUCAUGGCUCUUACGGGCUGGGCUACACACGUACUACAAUGGCGGUGACAGAGGGAAAAUCCUCAAAAACCGUCUCAGUUCGGAUUGGGGUCUGCAACUCGACCCCAUGAAGGUGGAAUCGCUAGUAAUCGCGGAUCAGCACGCCGCGGUGAAUACGUUCCCGGGCCUUGUACACACCGCCCGU
rnacentral:rRNA from 1 species